GUGUGCUCAAAGGGAUUCAUUGGAAAGACCUGCAGUCAAAAGGCCGACCAAUGCAGCAGCAGCCCAUGCGUUCACGGAACAUGUUUUUCAGGCCCGAACAGUCACGUGUGCCAGUGUGACCCAAACUACACUGGAACAAACUGCGACCAACAUAUGGACGCAUGCAGCAGCCACCCAUGUGUCCACGGAAUGUGU